rnacentral:rRNA from 1 species
AUGCCUCCAGGGAAGAGACACGGGAGCGCGCCGCCGCCGGUGCGCGGCGCGGACCGCAUCGGCGCGCUGCCCGACCCCAUCCUGCAGCACGUCCUCUCCUUCCUCCCGGCGCAGGCGGCCGUGCGGACGUGCGUGCUGGCCCGGCGCUGGCGCCACCUCUGGAGAUCCACCAGGGGCCUGCGCGUCGUGGGCCUCGACGGCGCGGACGCCGUCCAGGGCCUCCGCAAGUUCAUGGACCACCUGCUGGUCCUGCGCGACCGCGCCGCCGACCUGGACGCCGUCGAGAUCAGGUUCGACCGGUUCUCGGUGGCCGACGACGAGGCCUACGUGAACCUCUGGACCCGCUUCGCCGUCAUGAGCAGGGUCCGCGAGCUCACCGUCCACAUCGGCGCCUCCUCGUACCUCGACCUAGACAACCUGCCUCUCGUCUCCCAGCACCUGCGAGUCAUGAACCUCGACGGCCUAAGCCUGCAGCAGAAAUUUCUUGAUCUAGCAGGCUGCCCGGCGCUGGAGGUUCUGAAUAUGCAGCAUUGCGACAUCAGUGUUGGUAGGAUAUCCUCCCGUUCCCUGAAGCAUUUGAGCCUCAGAAGCUGCCGCUCCAACUCGAAUUGCUGGGUCCAUGUUUCUACCCCGGGCCUCGUCUCCCUGGUGCUGGUUAGAUUUGGGGGCACAACCCCUUUUCUUGAGAACAUGGCGCUGCUAGAGACUGCGCGUCUUGAUCUUAGCGAUGACUUCGAUGUCUGUUUCGAUUACGACUCCGAUGAGAAUUCUGUUCCUUUCAAUAAAGAUGACAGUGGCGAUUCCGUGCUCCUGGGUGCUCUCUCAGGUGCCAAACAUCUUGAGCUGGUAUCUGCAUUUCAAAAUUUCGUUUUCAGAAGAGAUUUGAGACAGUGCCCUACAUUCAGCAAGUUAAAGACUUUAUUACUCAAUGAGGACUGGUCUGAGGCUCCUGACUUGGAUGCACUAGCUUGUGUUCUGAAACACUCACCAGUUCUAGAGAAGCUCACUCUUCAGCUCUUUACCAACAAGGGACCAAAACAAGAAAUGAAAAUGAAAGGAAGCUACAGUUCAGCGGAGAGGUCGGCUGCAAUAUCAGAGCACCUUAAAAUAGUUGAAGUCCAGUGCAAUGUGGUCAAUCAGGGAGUUUUCAAAGUUUUGAAGUUCCUCUGUGCAUUUAAUAUACGAUUCAAUUUUGAGUAG